UACGGAGGGUGCAAGCGUUAUCCGGAUUUACUGGGUUUAAAGGGUGCGUAGGUGGGUCUGUAAGUCAGUGGUGAAAUCUUCAAGCUUAACUUGGAAACUGCCAUUGAUACUAUAGAUCUUGAAUUAUCUGGAGGUAAGCGGAAUAUGUCAUGUAGCGGUGAAAUGCUUAGACAUGACAUAGAACACCCAUUGCGAAGGCAGCUUACUACGGAUUGAUUGACACUGAGGCACGAAAGCGUGGGGAUCAAACAGG
rnacentral:rRNA from 1 species